rnacentral:lncRNA from 1 species
AGAAAAGAUAGAUGGUAAAUAGAUAGAUAGAUGAUAGAUAAAGAAAAUACAUAGCUGUUCCAGAAAACAGAAAUGGAUAACUUCAUGAACCAAAAGCAGAGUAAUAUACUUUAGAAAGGAAGCAGGCCGGAAAACCCACAGUUGCAAAACAAAUAGAAUUUCCAACUGCCUCUUGUAGCCCCUUCCUGGAAGUAGUCACAGCCCGGGGUGUUCAACUUCUUCCUCUGUUUUUUGUUUGUUUGUUGUUUGCUUUUCUGUGGGGUUUUUGUUGUUGUUGUUUGCUUUUAAAAAAAAAAUUCCCUUUCCCUGCUUUUUUGUCACAGCAGCCUUUGUCACUUCAAACACCGCAAGUGUUCUUUAAAAAAAAUUAUAUCAACCUUUCAAUUCAAAUGCAACAUGUCUGAAACUUGGUAUCUGGAGAGGUGAGUUGGACAAAGGAGCCCUUGUUACUGCACGUUUUCAUUCUUCAAAUUUCACCUUGCACGCAGUAACAGACAGUGCACAAAGCCACUUCCUUAUGGACGGAAAUUCUGAAAUCCUUUUAUGCCUGGCCUUUCCAUCCUUCAACUUCCCCUCUCCCACGCUGUGAAUGAUUGUAUUGGACAUUUUUGUUUUAAUGUCAGUGACAGGGGAACACAGGUAGCUCUAAUAUAGCUGUGACCCAGAUGCUUCUGUUUCUAGCAUGUAUUUAUUUUGUAGCAAACAUUUACAUCCAUGAUGUUUCACUGUCUUUUGAAAAUAAUUAGGCAAUAUCUCAUCUGAGGUAGGAUGUUUCUAGGGGUUGUGUUCUGAGGGAGGAAAACUAAUCUGUUCUCUUUCCACUGCAUUCUAGGAACAGUAAGAGGACCUUGUGCAUGAAUAAUUUGUUUCCACACUACAGAGUGGCAGAAGAAUCCCAGACUUCUUAGAGAACCCAGUGACUUUUUGCACCUUAAAUCUGUGAAAUCCUUAUGUUUUCUUCUGCUGUAUCCAUAGUUCAAACAAAGAUGAGGCAAAGCUAGACGCAUUCCUGAAGGAACCCAAGAAAUUCCUCUCUUUCUUUCUCUGGAAUGAAAUGAAUUCUCUAGACCACCAGUUCUAACCUUCAAAAACCAAACCUGUUUGUGAGAUCUCCUUCAAAUACUACUGUAGACCCCAGUGUUUAUUCAUUAAAUUUUUUAAAUAUUUGUUUUAUUUGGAAUCCAUGUAUUUGUAAUUUUAGUGUUUGUAUUAAUAUCAGGGAGAAAUGUUUAAAUCUGUCUUAUGCCAUAUGUGCCUCUGGCUUAUUGCCCAAUUAAUUGUAGUCUCAGGCUAAACUUUGGUUUCUGUCUUUAAUUUUUGUCAGAAGAAAUAUAACUGAUCUCAAAACAUCUGCUUUUAUUGUAGGGGCUUGUGCUGCCGUCUCCAUUCUUCUCUCUUUUCUUGCAAUCUGGGUGGAAGUUCUUUAAUAUGAACAUUUCAACCACCUUCAUUCUACCAUGUCCACUAUCAGCACAUUCAAACUGAUCCAGCCAAGGCUGUCAUCUUAGGCCAGGGAUUUUUUAGGAAUCUAUUUUGCUGUGAUGCGGCUGGCACCCCUUUGACUCACUGUAUCACCCCAGGGUUCUUUUCAUUUCAGAAGCCCAAGAGGGCAGAAAAAGAAGUAGGUGAGCAAUUAAACACUCUGAGUCAGGAGUGUCUCCCCUUGCGUUAAGCAAUGUUGUAGAACAUCGAUGUUCUACAUCGAUGUUGGCAACCUUGGUACCAUUUUGUCCACCUGAUUGGAAAAGCCAGUCAAUAAUUUCAGGUCACUGUUGGCCUUAGAAGAAGAGCCCAAAGGCAACAAGCAAAGGCGCUGGUGUCCAGUCGCCUUCUAGAAGCAUUUUCACUUUCCCUUAAGGUUUCCCUUGAUGAACAUAGAAGUACUGUAUGUAGAAUUGACCCAGUGCUGCCCUGGCAACUUUGUAUAUUAGG